CUGGCGCUUGUUUUCCAAAUUCUUCAGGGAGCCGUUGACAAAGAUAGCCGUGAGGCCAAGGAUGCGGGGGCACGCGGGGUUGCGAGCCACAGGCCACACUGCGUCACGCAUGAUUGCGGCCAUGGGCGAGUUGCCUGUAGCAUUGUGGCACUCAUCGAAAAUGAUGAGGGCAAAAUCCAGCACGGAGAGAAACGCAGCAUCUACAAGUGCCCGU
rnacentral:SRP_RNA from 8 species